GAAGCGGCAACAGCUCAAAUUUGAAAUCUGGCCCCUAGGGUCCGAGUUGUAAUUUGUAGAGGAUGCUUUUGGUGAGGUGCCGCCCGAGUUCCCUGGAACGGGACGCCGCAGAGGGUGAGAGCCCCGUCUGGCUGGCCACCGAGCCUCUGUAAAGCUCCUUCGACGAGUCGAGUAGUUUGGGAAUGCUGCUCAAAAUGGGAGGUAUAUGUCUUCUAAAGCUAAAUAUUGGCCAGAGACCGAUAGCGCACAAGUAGAGUGAUCGAAAGAUGAAAAGCACCUUGAAAAGAGGGUUAAACAGUACGUGAAAUUGUUGAAAGGGAAGCGCUUGUGACCAGACUUGGGCGCGGCGAAUCAUCCGGGGUUCUCUCCGGUGCACUUCGCCGUGUUCAGGCCAGCAUCAGUUCGGCGCGGGGGAAAAAGGCUUCGGGAACGUGGCUGCUCCGGCAGUGUUAUAGCCCGUUGCAUAAUACCCUGCGCUGGACUGAGGACCGCGCAUCUGCAAGGAUGCUGGCGUAAUGGUCACCAGCGACC
rnacentral:rRNA from 1 species